rnacentral:rRNA from 1 species
UACGUAGGCAGCGAGCGUUGUUCGGAGUUACUGGGCGUAAAGGGUGUGUAGGCGGUCGUUUAAGUUUGGUGUGAAAUCUCCCGGCUCAACCGGGAGGGUGCGCCGAAUACUGAAUGACUUGGAGUGCGGGAGAGGUGAGUGGAAUUCCUGGUGUAGCGGUGAAAUGCGCAGAUAUCAGGAAGAACACCCGUGGCGAAGGCGGUUCUCUGGGACGGUACUGACGCUGAGACGCGAAAGCGUGGGGAGCGAACAGG